CCUCCUAAACCCUCUCAAACAUUCCUCCAUAAUCCAUGAACAUAUCAAGGAGCUAAUCAAUCCAUCUUAACACAACAAAGACCGUGGCAAUCACGAAACCUUCAUUUCUCCAUAAAUUCGCUUUUCGGAAGAAAACGUCAUCUUGAAGCAACUUCUAUUUUGGAUUGAUUGUGGGAAUCUAAGGAAGUCAGUUGUAAAGGUUCGAGACUUUAGGAAAUGUAUAUAACUUCAAUCAACGAGGUACAGGUAGACGGAUUGAUGUACCUUUCUCAGUAGGGUACCGGAGUUCAGCAGGGAUGUUCGCACUCCAUUCUCUGGAGUUGCUGGUCAGAGUCAUCAAAUAGGAUGCAUACAUGUAUAUACAUAUAUUUAGAUGGUGUUGGGUAAAGUGGGGCCCUGUCCCGACCAGUUGUUGCAUUUAAGUACUCUUAGAGGCUUACAAACUAUCAGUUAAUGUUGAUGUGUUUUGUUAGCCUUGUCGGCCUCAGUUAUGCAUAUAUAUGUUAUUGGGCCUUGUCACACCCUAAUCUUGAUAAGGCAUGAUGGGCACCCGACCCCAUACUCAGAGCCGAGCGAACCCCUUUAACUCUCGUUAUGUUCAUAACCUCACUGGACUCUUA